GGAAGGAGGGAAGGAGGGAAGGAGAAGAAAGGAAGGAAGAUGAAUAGACAAGUAAAUAAGGAAGCAGGGCAGAUAUUUUCCAAACAAGCUUAAAAAGCUCAAAGCCUUAUGACAAAUAUAUAUUCCCAUUACAAAGAAGUUGUUCCAAAAGUUAACAUUUGCAAAAUAUUAUUUUAUUAAAUGUUGCUGUUGCUUUUAUAAAUAGAGCUGGUCUACAGAAGUCAGAAUUCUUAUGCAGUGAUUGAAAUUGCUUAAAUGGAACAGCAUAAAUUGAAAUAUAUGAUAGUAUGCUUGACAGUCAUAACUUGCAGUCUUCAUGUGAUGAAAAUCUCACUUCCAGUACCUUGAAUUUUAAAUUUUCAUAUAGAGGAGUUCCCAUUGUGGCGCAGUGGAAAUGAAUCCAACUAGGAAUCAUAAGGUUGCAGGUUCGAUCCCUGGCCUUGCUCAAUGGAUUAAGGAUCCAGUGUUGCCGUGAGCUGUGGUGUAUGUAGGUCACAGACACGGCUCAGAUCAGCUGUGGCUCUGGUGUAGGCCAACAGCUAUAACUCCAAUUAGACCCCUAGCCUGGGAACUUCCAUAUGCUGCAGAUGCAGCCCUAAAAAGACAAUCAAUCAAUCAAUUUUAAUAUAGGAAUUUAUAGUAAUACACAAAUUUUCAUUUCUAAUUUGAUCUUAGUGAAUUGUGUCCUUUGUGGUUUCUGAGGAAAGACUCAGUUCUUAUUUCAAGGAACACUGGAGUGUUUUCUUAUUAGAUCCAAAAUAUAAAAGUAGGAUAUGGAGGCCUCUUGAUAAAGAUUCUUUGGAAGAAAUGACAAAGGAGAGGGGCAAAUAAGUUCCUUCUCAGGCUGUUUGCUCUGCUUAACUUCUGGCACUCCAGCGUCAGUUUCUCCAUGCUUUCUAGAGUUUCCACAUCUUGGAGUUCUAAUAUUGGUCAAUAAAAUAUGAGGGACAGAUAACUUGUCUCUUCAGCUAAUACCUCUUCAGCUUGAGAGGAAUUGUACUCAGGCUCCUGGAAUCAAAGAAACACCUUAUACCCAGAAAAGUCAAGUACAAAUUUUUUGUGGCAGAACUGAGGCUUCUGACUCCAAAUCUUAAUUGUUAGCUUCUUGGAAAAAACAAACAAACAAACAAAAAAAACUACCUUACUGACUUUAGAGCCUUAUCUCUACCUGCAUCUGAUAUAGAUUAUGAGAGCCUAGAUAUUGAGCCUGAGCCUACUGCCAUAAUGGAAUGAGAUUUUUUUUUUUUUGAGUCUUGCAAGGGAUAAGUAUAUUUUUGCAUUUAGAGAAAAUAUAAAUAAUUUGUGACAAGUGUGCAGACUGUGAUAAAGAUGAAGUUAAAUUCUUUGACACUGCUCCCAUUGAGAGAUGGAGGAAGAGGGGUGACUAUAGCUACUCUCCUUGAAUCUGGACUAGCCUGUGACUGCUUCCACCAAUAGAAGGUGGUACCAGUGAUGCUAUGUCACCUGUAGGCCUAGCCAUUAUAAGAUCCAGGACUUUCCUUUUUUUUUUUUUUUUUUGUUUGCCUAAACCAGCAUGCAAGAAACCUUAUUACCUUGAGGAGAUCAUGGUAUAAGGAAGCCCAGAGUAGCCAUAUGGAGAGGCUCUGUCAGGAGUGAAACAUGCCUGGACAACCACCAGUAAUUUCAGUUCUCUGCCACACAGAAUCAUGGCAUAUCAUAUUUUAAAUUUGUCAGUUAAAGCCAUUAAAUUUGGGGUUAGUUUGUAAUGCAGUAAUAGAUAAUUAAAGCACUAGGUGGAAGCUUUUUGUUUGUUUUUUGUUUCUAUGGUCUGCCUUCUGCCUGCCUGGACAUAAGACUUAAAGAACUAAGAAAACCUUUGAAAUUGCGAAACCAAGAACAGAACAUGAAUAAACAAACAAAUGGCUACAUAUUAAAGAUGUCAGAAUGGAUACACAGAAGGAGCUUGGGUCCUUGCUGGCACUGAUGAGCCAUCCAUAUCAGCCAGCUCAAGACUGGCUCUUCUGGAGACCAAUAAAGCCCUAUCUGCCUAGGCCAGUGUCAUUGUGGCUUUCUGUUACUUGUCACUGAAUACAUUCAGAGCUGAUACAACUAUCAAUAAAUAUUUAUUGAUUGGCUGAAUCCCUUGUUUCCCAGUCUUUUCUUUUCUAGAAGUUUAUCUUCAACAUUGCAGUCCCUGUGGGAUUUGUGGAUAUUACCUAAGGAGCACACUUCCGUGGUUGAUUCUUUUCUCAGAGAUGCUCAACUGUGAUCAGUCUCCAUCCAUUUAGUUCUUCCAGCCUUUAUUAGAAAAGUGGUUUGUUUUUUUGUUUUUGUCUAAGCAUUGCUUUGAAUUUUUAGUCCUAAGUAUGUGACUUUAAGAUGUCAGGUCUUAAGUUUUACAUUUAAAUGCCUCCUAUAUUUCCCUCGGGUUUUUGUUUUGUUUUGUUUUUUCAUUAAGUUUGAAGGAGAUCUUCUGAAUGAGGGGGACUUCAAGCACAAUCAGAAAUUCCCUGUUGCCCUUACUCUCUCUUUAGUUUGGUUUUAAGCUCUAUUUAGUUUCAUUUUUCUCAGAAGAGCAUGAAAAAAAGAAAUAAUAAAGAACAAAAUAAUGGUUCCAUAUGUAAUUGCUUCUUCUAGUUUUAAGACACCGAUAUCUAUGAGACAAUAACAACAACAACAAAAAAAAAAAGGAUGUCUCAGUACUGACAUACUAAAAUAUGUCCUCUUUGGAGUUCCCGUCGUGGCGCAGUGGUUAACGAAUCAACUAGGAACCAUGAGGUUGCGGGUUCGGUCCCUGCCCUGCCUCAGUGGGUUUAACGAUCCGGCGUUGCCGUGAGCUGUGGUGUAGGUUGUAGACGCGGCUCAGAUCCCGCGUUGCUGUGGCUCUGGCGUAGGCCGGUGGCUACAGCUCCCAUUCGACCCCUAGCCUGGGAACCUCCAUAUGCCGCGGGAGCGGCCCAAGAAAUAGCAACAACAACAACAACAAAAGACAAAAAGACAAAAAAAUAAAUAAAUAAAAUAAAAUAAAAUAAAAUAUGUCCUCUUUCCCCCAUUCAAGUCCUAGGUGACAAAUGUUAACAGAGUUAGUUAUAAAAAAUAUUCUAGUUUCUUUUACCUAAAAUUUUAAUCUUUUACUGCAUGAAGGGAGAGGGUAAGUUGAAAUGUAGGGGCAAAACGCAAGAAUUAGAAUCAAUCAGGCCUGGCUUCCAAGUUCUGGCUUUCUCUUAGUAGGCUGUAUAAUCCUGAGAAUGUCCCCUGUCAAUGCCCAUGAUCAAGAUUUUUACAGAGAAGGGUUGUUAUGAAGAUUGAAUAUGGAAAUAUGUAUAAAGCACAUACCCUGGAACCCAGCACAUGGAGAAGAGAUGACAACUGCUGACUCUGCUAUAAAAGGUAGUGAAAUACUUAAAACCUAGCCCCAUGAUUGUACCUAUAAUAUUCUCUUUUUAAAAUGGGUUUUUGGAAUUAUCAUAAGUAAAUUCUCAAGUCCUUUAAAAGUCUACAUUCUGCAUUUUAAAAUAUGAGUAAAAUAAUUAUAAACCAGUAAGAAAUAAGCCUGAAACACCGAAGUGCCUACUUUUGGUGCAAUUUAUAUCUUAAGUCUUCUAAAUGGAAAUAUUGGAAGAAGUAAGAUUACUGUUUUGGAAAUACUGGAUUAAGCAAAAGCUAAGAUUUGCCAAAUAUGGAAUUGAAGUUAAAUUAACUAAGUGAUAAAAUGAAAAAAGAAACAAAUCAAAAAUUAUUUAUGGUACCUCAACAAAUAUAACAUUACAGAUACCUAAUGAAUCCUGAUGGCUAAAGUGAUGGAGUAACCACUCUGACUUCCUCAGUUUCUCCAGUAUGGUCUCUGAAUAUUUGUACUCUUAGAAAAUAUUUUAUGAAAAGUAUCACAUGUACUUUUCCAUGGAGUAAAACCAACUGUAGAAUGUACAUUUAAUAAUAGAUUGCAAGAGACCCUCUAAGAAGACUUUUUGUUUUAUAAUUUAAUAUUUAUUUGGACUUGUUCUCCCAUAUGAUAAACUAAAGAUGUUCUAUUUAGUUCAGAGAAAAUCCUACUUGCAGGUUUACAGACACAUUCCUGUUAAGUGAUAGUGUAAUUCCUAAUGAUUUAAUUUGGAACCCAAGUCUGCAUCACAGUGUCAUAGUUGGAAUAUUUGCCUCUCAUUUUGACAAGUUCUGCUAAUGUUUAUUUUAUGCCUAUUGGAAAAGGGGACUUGCAUGGGGGGGUGACGCUCAUUCUUUCAGUGUUUUCCAGGACUAAAAAAAUGAGCAGUGAAUAGGACAGUUUCAAGAUAAUUAUCUUUUUUCAUUAGUUUAAAGUGACUUUUUGAGAGAUUAGAAGUAACAGUUGGCAAAAGGCAUAAUAAUUUGCACAUAUUAGACAUGCAUUGUAUAAAAAUUUUUUCCUUUUGGAAAAAAGUCUUUUAUAUCUGAAAAACCAGGAAAAAUAUACUUAAAAUAUAAGAGUUUGUUGAUUGAUUCCUCCUUAUUUUACUGGGUUGAAAGACUUUCCUUAGCCACAUUAUUCAUCAAGUAAGUGAUUUUCUUUAAUUUUAUAUCAAUUUCAGUAAAUAGGUUUCAAGAAUAGUCUUUUAGUGGAGCAAGAACAAAUUUAUGCCAGCCCCAUUUGAAUUUAAUUGUGUCAUUAUAGUACACAAUUACAGGAACCCAAAAGUCAUAAAACAUCCUAUAGAAACUCCAAAGAAAAAAACACCAAAAUUAAACUACAACUUUUGGGCACCUCAUUUACAUACUAGUCAAGGGAAAGAUAGCUAGCUUCUACUCCUUUAUAUAUGUCUUCAAGCCUUCAAACACCACUUUCACAGUAAAAAAUUUU
rnacentral:lncRNA from 1 species